rnacentral:rRNA from 1 species
AGAGUUUGAUUAUGGCUCAGGAUGAACGCUAGCUACAGGCUUAACACAUGCAAGUCGAGGGGCAGCAUAAUCGAAGCUUGCUUUGAUUGAUGGCGACCGGCGCACGGGUGAGUAACGCGUAUCCAACCUUCCCCUUAGUAGGGCAUAGCCCGGCGAAAGUCGGAUUAAUACCCUAUGUUAUCCGUCGAGGGCAUCUGAAAUGGAUUAAAGAUUUAUCGCUAAGGGAUGGGGAUGCGUCUGAUUAGGUUGUAGGCGGGGUGACGGCCCACCUAGUCCGCGAUGGUAGGGGAUCUGAGAGGACGGUCCCCCACACUGGUACUGAGACACGGACCAGACUCCUGCGGGAGGCAGCAGUAAGGGAUAUUGGUCAAUGGGCGGAAGCCUGAACCAGCCAAUGCCGCGUGAGGGAAUGAGGCCCUACGGGUCGUGAACCUCUUUUAUUCGGGGACAAGGACGCGGUCGUGAACCGUGUUUGAGGGUACCGAAGGAAUAAGCGUCGGCUAACUCCGUGCCAGCCGCCGC